rnacentral:rRNA from 1 species
AUAUAGAUUGCUUGCAAUUUAUGAUGGCGACCGGCGCACGGGUGAGUAACGCGUAUCCAACCUACCCAUUACUAGGGAAUAACCCAGCGAAAGUUGGCCUAAUGCCCUAUGUAGUCGUUUGAUCGCCUGAGAUUUCGACGAAAGAUUUAUCGGUAUUGGAUGGGGAUGCGUCUGAUUAGCUUGUUGGCGGGGUAAAGGCCCACCAAGGCAACGAUCAGUAGGGGUUCUGAGAGGAAGGUCCCCCACAUUGGAACUGAGACACGGUCCAAACUCCUACGGGAGGCAGCAGUGAGGAAUAUUGGUCAAUGGGCGAGAGCCUGAACCAGCCAAGUAGCGUGCAGGAUGACGGCCCUAUGGGUUGUAAACUGCUUUUAUAUGGGAAUAAAGUGAGGGACGUGUCCCUUAUUGCAUGUACCAUAUGAAUAAGGACCGGCUAAUUCCGUGCCAGCAGCCGCGGUAAUACGGAAGGUCCAGGCGUUAUCCGGAUUUAUUGGGUUUAAAGGGAGCGUAGGCUGUUUGUUAAGCGUGUUGUGAAAUGUAAGAGCUCAACUUUUAGAUUGCAGCGCGAACUGGCAGACUUGAGUGCGCACAACGUAGGCGGAAUUCAUGGUGUAGCGGUGAAAUGCUUAGAUAUCAUGACGAACUCCGAUUGCGAAGGCAGCUUACGGGAGCGCAACUGAC